rnacentral:rRNA from 1 species
UACGAGGGGGGCAAGCGUUGUUCGUAAUUAUUGGGCGUAAAGGGCGCGUAGGCGGCGCCACAAGUCACUUGUGAAAACUCUGGGCUCAACUCAGAGCCUGCAAGCGAAACUGUGGUGCUGGAGUAUGGGAGAGGUGCGUGGAAUUCCCGGUGUAGCGGUGAAAUGCGUAGAUAUCGGGAGGAACAACUGUGGCGAAAGCGGCGCACUGGACCAUAACUGACGCUGAGGCGCGACAGCUAGGGUAGCAAACAGG